CUAAGAACCAGAACUUGACUUUUGAACCCACACUUGUUUCUGCAUUUACAUCAUAGUCCAUGCAAGCACAUUAGUAAAUGUACAUAGUAAAAGCAGAGGUAAGUAAAAAAUAAGACUUCAAAAAGAAACCAGACCUCAAGUACAUAGUAAAAGCAGAGAUAGUACAAAAUAAGACUUUAAAAAGAAACCAGACCUCAAGAGAACUGUAGGCAGAAGUACCUCCCCUUCUCGCGGGUUUUCCUUCCCCAACAGAAGGUCCAUCU
rnacentral:lncRNA from 1 species